rnacentral:tRNA from 1 species
UGGGGUGUAGCUCAGUGGUAGAGCACUUGCCUAGCACGUGUGAGGCCCUGGGUUCCACCCCAGCUCCACAC